CCUACGGGAGGCUGCAGUGAGGAAUAUUGGUCAAUGGGCGUAAGCCUGAACCAGCCAAGUCGCGUGAGGGAUGAAGGUUCUAUGGAUCGUAAACCUCUUUUAUAAGGGAAUAAAGUGUGGGACGUGUCCUGUUUUGUAUGUACCUUAUGAAUAAGGAACGGCUAACUCCGUGCCAGCAGCCGCGGUAAUACGGAGUAUCCGAGCGUUAUCCGGAUUUAUUGUGUUUAAAGGGUGCGUAGGCGGCCUUUUAAGUCAGCGGUGAAAGUCUGUGGCUCAACCAUAGAAUUGCCGUUGAAACUGGGAGGCUUGAGUAUGUUUGAGGCAGGCGGAAUGCGUGGUGUAGCGGUGAAAUGCUUAGAUAUCACGCAGAACCCCGAUUGCGAAGGCAGCCUGCCAAGCCAUGACUGACGCUGAUGCACGAAAGCGUGGGGAUCAAACAGGAUUAGAUACCCCAGUAGUC
rnacentral:rRNA from 1 species